UCAUUACCGAGUUUACACUCCCAAACCCAAUGUGAACGUUACCAAACUGUUGCCUCGGCGGGAUCUCUGCCCCGGGUGCGUCGCAGCCCCGGACCAAGGCGCCCGCCGGAGGACCAACCAAAACUCUUUUUGUAUACCCCCUCGCGGGUUUUUUUUAUAAUCUGAGCCUUCUCGGCGCCUCUCGUAGGCGUUUCGAAAAUGAAUCAAAACUUUCAACAACGGAUCUCUUGGUUCUGGCAUCGAUGAAGAACGCAGCGAAAUGCGAUAAGUAAUGUGAAUUGCAGAAUUCAGUGAAUCAUCGAAUCUUUGAACGCACAUUGCGCCCGCCAGUAUUCUGGCGGGCAUGCCUGUCCGAGCGUCAUUUCAACCCUCGAGCCCCUCCGGGGGGUCGGCGUUGGGGAUCGGCCCUGCCUUGGCGGUGGCCGUCUCCGAAAUACAGUGGCGGUCUCGCCACAGCCUCUCCUGCGCAGUAGUUUGCACACUCGCACCGGGAGCGCGGCGCGUCCACAGCCGUUAAACACCCAACUUCUGAAAUGUUGACCUCGGAUCAGGUAGGAAUACCCGCUGAACUUAACCAUAUCAAUAAGCGGAGGA
rnacentral:rRNA from 1 species